UCAUAUGCAAACGUCCUCCAGCAGGCAAACAACUUCUGAAUAUUGGAGUUAGGUGUCCAUGCCUAAGGCCUUAGCAAUUGCAGAAGUAUGUAAGGUAGUGUUUUUUUUAAUAGGGUGUGUUUGGAUGGCAGCCAAUCUACAGAGCUCCUUUUUGGGUGCCAUCUUGGAGCAGUUCAGCUGGGGGCAGACCCGAGGACCCACGCAGGUGGCUUCUUGGGAUGGCUGUGAUUGCCAUUUUAUGGAACUGGGAUCUGAGUGCCAUUGACUCCAUGCUGAGGAAGAUGAAGGCGGAGCAACAGAGUAGGACAGAGGAGCUAAAGCAGAGAGAGGCUGAAACUGACCGGCAUUGAGCAUGUUGCUCUACCAAGGAGAGGUGGUAACACCGAGAUCCUACCACUACAAAGGGAGUCUUACUGGAUAUAUCUAAAAACAUUGACCCCUAGUGAUCUGAAUAUUGACUUUGAUCUCAGGCCCUUCUUUAUGAACAGUUCUCUCUUUUAUGAACAAGUCUUAUAAAUGGACACACCCAAUAUGUUCCCCCCUGUUGAUGAUGCUUAUUAUGCAUUAUGGUUGAACCAAAAGAUUACAUGUAACAAAACAAUGUAAUGAAAUAGGUAACAAUUACAUAUACACACACACACACACACACACACGUGUGUUAAAUUGAAUUAAACAAUAAUGUAUGUUGAUGCUAACAUUAUGUACAAUAUUUAUGUUUCCAUAUGAUAACAAUAGCCUAAUAUAUUCAAUGUUAUAAACUAUUGUUUAACAGUUUCACUCAAUUCAUUCUCAUUAAAUGUAAA